UGCUCCUCCUUUGCUACCCACGCCUCCUGCAGUUCCUCCGCUCGGCAGCCCCCGGCAGAUCCUCUGCUGCCCCACGGACGCAACCGCGGACUGCCGCCGCCGAUGAUCCCAUCUGAUGGCGGCGCCGACCCAUCCCUGGCGCUGGAUGCGGCGACCUCCGGCAGAGGCGCGCCCGGCCGCGCCUUCCCCAGCACAGUCGCGCCGGGCUGCCUCCGCUCCUCCGGCAGCGCCGGGCCCGUCCGCCGCAGCUGCCCGCCGGCGAGGGCACAAUCGGCGCCGACCUGCACGCGCAAGGGGAGGCGGCAGGAGCAGUCGUGCAAGGGCAGGACCAGCCGUGCGGUCAAUCGAGCGAUCCUUUUUCAUCUUGGCCGCCAUGUCCCCCGCCGUCGACGACGCCCGCUGUGGCGAUCUCCGCCCUGGCGACCAGCUCUACCUCGCCUGCCAAAUCAAAUCUACGAACUAAGGUUGAUUUCUAUGACUUCAGUUCGCUGGUGGUACUGGCAUAACGCUUAUGUUGCAGGCUUCUCCAGAACGAUUCCUUAUCUCAACCAGUCAUAAGUUAGCCUGAAGACAUAAGGUGCAGAUUUUUUUUCCUUGGUAUAAGAGAUACUUUCGACUAAGCACACGUGCAAUGUUACAUUUGAGUAAGGGAUUACCAUGUUCUCUGAAUUUUCUACCCGACAGAUAUGUUCAACUAUAUUUAGAGUAUUCCGAUAAAGGCUUUACCCCCGCUUUAUAUUAUAAAGCAUCCGGAUAUUUAGAGUAUUAUACAUCUCUAAUCUGCAUAUUUUUGACCAACAUGAUAAUGUUCCAUACUUCUUAAGCCAUUUUGGUGCCACCUAUUGUACCAUCAUUUUUAGCUUCAGGUAUUGUCCUUAUUUCCAAACAAUUCCAUUGUCUUCGCUUUCUCUACUCACAUGUGUUUUUUAGUCUUCCUCUCACUCUUUUGAGCUUCUACAGAACUGAUGUCUGACUGCUAUGUUUACCCUUCUGAAUAAUACCCUUAUCAAGUUUUCAGCUUUUAAUGUAAAACCAUAACCAAUUACGCACGUGUUACCGAAAUUUUGGAGUUCUUUUUCACCUUUUCUUGUCCGGUUGUGGAUAAAAAAAACUUAUGCUGAAUCAUUACGUCUCCGGACGAGCAGUGCAGAUUUGAGAGUUAGGUUAUUUGUCAAAAGUUUUCCGUUUUAUCCAUACAAUAGAAAAAUUAGUUUUACAUAAUUUGAAUGUGUGCUCACAUGAGCUUGUAAACUUCUCUCAUGUGUCCACACAAGGGCGGAGGGAAGAUUCUUUCUGUGAAGUAACCUAUUUUGUAUGAAGUUGUAGUUGAUUUUGUCGGACUGGGAAGUGAUGGAUGCACCAAGGACACAACAGAGAAGAUGUUUUUGAAUUUCGUGCUGUAGCUAAAUGGUGAAGUUUUCAUGAAUUCAUGUUAUGAAUUGGUUCUCACUUUUUUUAUCAUAACCUUUUAUUAUCUCAUGAUUUAUUGAUUUUUUUUGUUUUUUCUGUUGAUGUUUCUGUUUGCAGAACGAUUAUUAGAUAUUGGAGAAUUAACGAGGUAUGCCUACUGCCAAGCAUGCUUGCAGAAGUACACGAUUCAAGAGAUUUUCUAUUUUGGCAGAAGUUGGUGUGCCCACCGACAAGUGUGCUCUGAAAAUUAGUCAAUUACUGCACCAGCUGGACUUAUAGAUCGGUUCACAAGGUUCUUUCUGGACAGUAGUUAUGGUUUAAUACAUUUAAAACAUGUAUGGUUGUUUGAUUCAUGAACAAAACAAAUAUAUUCUCUUUUGCGCUUUGGGCAUUUCACAUAUGACCAUUGUACUGUUGCACUAUUACUACGACCUAUGUGAAAGGUAAAUAAACCUUUCAGCAACAUAUGUCGGUAUAAUUCUCUCCCAACUAGCAUUAUAUGCCAUAUAUAGUUGUUUUUUUUACUGAAAUGUUAGGAGCCUCGUGUAUAAGGUAUGCAGAAAUUCUCACUUUGGGGAAGUGAUUAAUUCUUCAUGUGCAGUAACCUGGAGAGAUGGUGCUGGUGGAUUCUAGCCGCAAGUCGAAGACAUGCAGUUGCUUGCCGUCGAUGAAGCGACAUCAACAUGGGUAGCUGAUCCAGUCAUCUGUUAGUCUCUUCGUCUUUCUUCCUUGCACUUUGUUCUUCAGUCAUGUGUCCGGCAUCCUUCCCCAUGCUACUGACUCUAUGGUGUCGCUGGCCCAUGCUUCUGAGUUCUGACUCUCCAUUCAUAUACUCACUUCUUAGAAAUCCCAUGGCAAUUGCUUUCAUGUGAAUUUUGGUUAGUACUCCGUAUUUAUGAUGCUGCUGGCCUCAUUGCUCUGAAUAUACUACCACACUGCAUGAUAAAAUCAACAAUGACUUUUCUUAAUGCAUGUAAAUUAUCGCUUCUCUGUAAUGUUUGAUGUGAAUUUAUUCCAUGACAAUGGUGCAAACUAGGAUCUGACUGGACAAGACGGCCGCGCUGUCAGCCCAGUCUACCGCGUCCUUGCUCGCGUCAGCACACCCACUGCAAGCCUGCUGAUGGUGCAGUUGCUGAGCAGGGAGGUUAAAUCCCCGAGCCAGGCAACAAUAUGGAUGACUUGGAUUGAUAAAUUUUUUCAUUAGCAUUUAUCUCCUUAACGAGAGAACUUUUGAGAAUUUUAAUAACUUUGAAAGAUGUUUAUAUUGGCAACAGUAGUUGUAACGAAUAUUAUGUGUUUUAAGAAUAUGGUUUUUGGUGCUAACAGUUGCAGGAUUAGAUCAC